rnacentral:rRNA from 1 species
GAUGAACGCUGGCGGCGUGCCUAAUACAUGCAAGUCGAGCGAACAGAUAAGGAGCUUGCUCCUUUGACGUUAGCGGCGGACGGGUGAGUAACACGUGGGUAACCUACCUAUAAGACUGGAAUAACUCCGGGAAACCGGGGCUAAUGCCGGAUAACAUUUAGAACCGCAUGGUUCUAAAGUGAAAGAUGGUUUUGCUAUCACUUAUAGAUGGACCCGCGCCGUAUUAGCUAGUUGGUAAGGUAACGGCUUACCAAGGCAACGAUACGUAGCCGACCUGAGAGGGUGAUCGGCCACACUGGAACUGAGACACGGUCCAGACUCCUACGGGAGGCAGCAGUAGGGAAUCUUCCGCAAUGGGCGAAAGCCUGACGGAGCAACGCCGCGUGAGUGAUGAAGGUCUUCGGAUCGUAAAACUCUGUUAUUAGGGAAGAAAAAAUGUGUAAGUAACUGUGCACGUCUUGACGGUACCUAAUCAGAAAGCCACGGCUAACUACGUG